rnacentral:lncRNA from 1 species
GCAGCCUCCCCGUUCUCCUCUAGCCCCGCCUAGCCACUAGCCCGAGCUCCUGGAGCACUCUCUACCCGCCAUCGCGGCCUUGGCCACCGCCUCUUCCCUCCCUCGAUUCGGCCGAGUCCGAGCCCCUCCCUCGCUCCUUCCACCACCAGUGAGAUCCACUCACUCCGGCGCCCAUGCCCAUGCCCUUUCCCCCUCGCCGGAACCAUCGUGGUCGCGAGCCCCAUCUCCUCCCGUAGCCAUCUCCGCCGGAGUCCAUGCUCUGCCCGACCCCUUCCUCCUCGGCGUGCGCAAAGCCCCUGGUUGGAUGCGCUGUUGAGCGUUGAAUCCAUCCAUAGGCGGAGCGUCGCCGGAGGCCCUCUGUGGCGCCGGCAAUCGCCGCCCGACGCCGGUGUCCUCCCUCUACCUCGCGGGCGAGCGAGGAGAAGAAGACGACGACACAGCGCCCUGCCAGCUGGCCGCGGGUCCCGCCAGUCUGUGGCUGAGCGUUUACCCCGCGGGCCAGCGUGGAUAAGUGACGGGCCCCACACGUGGGACCCACGCGCGUCAGCCCCGCCAUUGUUCCAACGGAUAAGGUGAAAGUGUAUUCCUUCCUUUACGUUUUCUCUUUUUCUGUUCAGGCCCCUAGUUGAAAAAAAUCCAUUACAGAUAGGUCCCUGGCAGUAAAACCCUUAUAACUUUUUAACCGUAACUCCAAAUGAGGUGAAACCAACGCUCACUUCUUCGUUUCGUCGAGCCCGUUCUAUUGGUCAUGUUUUCACUAUGGUUUGACACUGUGAAAAUGACCAUUAUGCCCUUGCCCUUAUUCAGCCCCCUCCGAGAGAGAACGUUUUCCGGCGAAUAUUUCCGCGGCUUCACCACACUUCUCCCCGGUGCCUUCUUCAUCCCCAGGCAAGCCACAAUACCCACAUGCAUGAUAGUCAUGCAGUAGCCAUGGUUUCAACUUGAAUAUUUAAUAAAUGUUUGCCUGUUGAAAAGAUGGUUAUCGUUGUUCCGGUGAUGUUCAGAUUUGCAUGUUCACUGUUAUGCUAUGUUGUUUUAUAGUCUAUGAUCAUGUUAUACCUUCUAGUAUUACCUUUCAUAUGAUUAUGUUGGUUAGUAGUACAUGUUGAUGUUGGUGAUGGUCAUGCUAGUCAGUAUGCCAUGUUCAGUGGAUAUGAGUUAUUGUUGGUAUGGUGGAAAGUUAUGCGAUACUCUCAUGAUGAUGUUGAUAUCAUGUUCAUGUAUUAUAGUUGGCAUCAUGUUAUUUUAUCAUGGCUCAGCAUUUUUGCAUUCAAGUUAACCGGAUUAAAUUGAACUUGAACACCUGUUGGCUGAGUCAUGUUACCGCUGAAUCGAUGCUGACCAGUGCAACCACGCUUACCGGUAUGGGACUGUCCUAACUGGGUCUAUUGUCGUGCCUCUGGUCGGUACCUCAAUUUAGGGAAGGUUAUGGGCACGUGCUACCCUGAUCAGGUAGGCGGAGCAUAACCUUGUGAGCCCGUUGUUAAGUUAAUUUUGGUACCGAAUCCCAGUGUGGAUCGUGGCCACGAUGGUGGUUGAGGUGUCUGGAGGUAGACACGGGGCCUCCCAGGACUAGCCCGGUGGGGUCUGAGUUAGAAGGGCCGGGAGAGUGUCAUGACAAUAGAUCAGUUUUGUCGGAACGCCGUUGGUCCACCCGAAUGGGAGUGCGAGGCCAUGGGUUUCGUAGUGUGGGUACAGUGUACUAACCUCUGCAGAGUGUAUAUUAAUCUGUCGAUAGUCGCGCCCGCGGAUAAGGGCCCAGGUCGAGAAAAGGUCACACCAUGAGUCAACAGUAAUAAGAAUAAUGUGCUUAAUAACAGUGAGAUAAGUUGGCCAAGUGUUGGUCAGGUGGUGAUCACCGUAAGGAUCACGGGCCAUGUAGUGGUUGGGUUGUGAUCGCCGUAAGGAUCACGGGCCAAGUGUUGGUCGGGUGGUGAUUGUCGUAAAGAUCACGAUGGUAUCGAGGAUAUCGAGUUGUUGUAUAUUCGUGACGUUGUACGAGAGUCGUGGGUAAAGAUCAAGCUCCUUGUGGUUAUUUAGUGAUCGCUAUGGUAUUGUUUAUGCCAAGCUUGAUUUGAUCCUGAGAUGAUCGUGUGAUGUCCGAGGUCGGUAAGUGAUGCAUGUGUUGGUUACGAGGUAAACGAGCAGAAUAAGGGGUGCAUAUGGUGUCAUCAUGUUACAUGCUAGUAUUGUCAGAUUAAUAUGUUCAUGCUAUGUUCAGGUUGAGUUAGCUGUAUCAUGUUUAUGUUGGUCAUGCCAUGUUAUGCUGAUGAUCUCAUGUUAAUUCCUGUUUAACCUGUAAUUGCCAUGCUGUUGUUUGUCUUGAAUGCUUCUAGUUAUUUGUGAGCUUGCAAGUACAUUCAAUUUACUAACCUGGCGUGUCAUGCCAGCUUGCAGGUCAUGCCGGAUUUGAUUGCUUGCUUGUCGUGGUUUCCGUUCGUGCGAGCUAGGAUAAGCAUUCCAGCCAGAGUCCCUGCGGAGUGGAGUUCACCACCGUCGCCGUUGUUCCGCUGCUAGAGUUAUUCCACUGCUUCGAGUUGUUCUGCUGCUUGCAUAGAGCAACUGAGGAUGGCGUAGUGUCGCCGUACCGAUGUUAUUCAUUGUAAUAUCGUAGACCUUGUAUUCAUAUUUGUGUAAUAAUAGAAGGCUGGUUUGUUCUAUGCUAAGCAGUGCCGUAUUCCAGAAGACUUCUCCUCGAUCUCUGGGCUGGAAUACGGGGCAUUCCAGUUUUCUCUGAGCCGGGUUGCAACAGCUCAGAGAUACCUCUCCGAUACUCGGAGUGACAAAUCCUAAUCUCGAUCUAUGCCAACCAAACAAACACCUUCGAAGAUACCUAGAGCAUAUUUAUAAUCACCAAGUUACAUUGUGAUGUUUGAUAGCACAGAAGGCAUUCCUCCAGUAUUUGGGAGUUGCAUAAUCUCAUAGUCAAAGGAAUAUGUAUUUGACAUGAAGAAAGCAAUAGCAAUAAACCUGAACGAUCA